GUAAGUUCAAAAUUUAAUUAAGUUCAAAAUUUAAGUAAGUUCAAAAUAUAAGAAAAUUCAAAAUAUAAGAAAGUUCAAAAAUAAAAUAAUUUCAAAAUUUAAGUAAGUUCGAAAUUUAAGUAAGUACGAAAUUUAAGUACGAAAUUUAGGUUCGCUAAUACUAUAAUAUGCAUUAUAUUUUUUCUAUUUUUUUAAAAAUAAUGCUUAGUUUAUAGUAAAAAUAAUUUUUUUAAAUAUUUACAAAAAAAACAACUUCCAUAGUAGAAACAUGUUUCUAGUCACUUUUCUAAUGAUAUAAAAAAUAUUUUUUUUCUACGUUAAUACAUUUAUUAUAUAGCAUUUUUUUUUUUUGUUGUUCUAAAUUAUUCAUUUAUUUGUUUUUUUAUCAUGAAGUAUUAUUUUUUAUACGCAUUGUUUUAUUAAGCACCUUUUUUUUAUUGUUUAGAUUGUGAGUACUUUUUUUUUUUUUUUAUGAUAACUUUUUAUUUCAUUAUUUCAAAAUUUAAAAAUAUAAUUGUUUUAUUGUUUAAUGAUAAAAAGAAUUUAAUUAUAUUACUAUAAAAUAUAUAUUACUAAAAAUAUUCAAGUUAAAAAUAUAAAUAAAAAAAAAAUUAAAUAAUAUAGAAUAAUAUAUAAUUAUAUAAAAAAGAAAAUCUAUUUGUAACAUAUAAAAGACUAAUGAAAAAUAUGCAGUAAUAUCAUUAUUACUUAGUAAUUGCUAAUAAAAAAAAUGUUUACAACAAUUUAUAAAAUAAUUCUUGUUUUAUUUUUUGUAUGGGCAUGGACCAAUAAUAGUAAAGAUCACUUAGAAAAUAUAUUUAGCACACAGUAUGGUAGAUCACUGGCUGAACCUGAUAUUUUACAUAACGAGGAGAAUGCUCAAUCUAAUGUAGUAGAUUAUAACCAAAGUUCUGAAUAUAUUAAAAAUGAAGAAAAUUCUACAAAUAAAAGCGAUGAAGAAACCUUGCAAAUUGAUAAAUAUAACGAUAAAAAUUCAAUGUAUUUAUCCAAUAUGAAGCAAGAAUUAAUUAAAUUAUUAUCGGACCAAAAUGAUUCCAAAAUAACAAAUAUAUUGCAAAAUAAUUCAAACAUACAAAAAACAGAUUUACUACAUAUAUAUGAUCUUAUUAAACAUUUUAUUUCUGGUGAGAAAUAUUUACAAAUUAUAAAUAAAAGUUGUGAAUUAGCAACUAAAAAACAAUUUAAUCGUAAUACAAAUGCUGAAAAAUAUUACAACUCACUAUUAUACUUAUUGAAUACAUAUUUCUAUCUUGCUGAGAAUGAAAUAAAUUUUAAAAGACUGUCUAUGAAAUUACGUAAUGAUGGUUAUGAACGACCCAAAUUUAAAUCAAGUAAUUAUUUUAAUAUAUCUAAACUUUACAAAAGAAUAAAUAAACAAUUUAAAAUUAUGUUACUUAAACAAAUGAUAAAACAGGAAUUAGAUCCAACUGUUCAAUUGACUUAUAAAAAACGUUUUGAGCUACUUAGUUAUGGAUUUUUUUACCCACUAUCACUAUUCGUAAUUUCAAUUUUUACCUUACCAGUCUGGUCAAUUGGUCUUACGUUUACACUAAUAGGGAUGCUUCUUUACAUAUGUGUACAUUCUAAUUAUAAAAUAAUCAGAGAUGUACAUUUUGUAAAGCAAAUUAUGAAAAAAUCAAAACUAUUAGAUCAAAAAUAUUUGAAUUAAUUUGUACCUCAAAUUAUAACACAAAAAAAUAGUUACAAAAAAAACAAACAUUAUUGUUUUUCAUUUGAAUAUGUUGUUUUUUUUAUAUUUAUUUAUUCAUUUAUUUAUUUAUCUUUUUUUUUUUUUAUGUCCC
rnacentral:lncRNA from 1 species